rnacentral:other from 1 species
UAGUUGCUGCGCUACGCGUGAUACAAUCUAAAUCCGAGUGGCCGAUAGCUAUUCGCUUGGGAGCUGUUCCUUGGCAGAUCGAAGUGUUUUGCCGCCUCGACUGCUGAUACGGCACCCCCCUGAUUUUCAGGGCCUCUUGCGGAUAGAUAACGUACACGGUAUGCGUGGCAACUUU